rnacentral:circRNA from 1 species
CCAAAUGGGCGGACUGUUGAAGUGGCUGAGGGUGAAGCUGUUCGAACACCUCAAAGUGUAACAGCAAAGCAGCCACCAGAGAUUGACAAGAAAAAUGAAAAGUCAAAGAAAAAUAAGAAGAAAUCAAAGUCAGAUGCUAAAGCAGUGCAAAACAGUUCACGCCAUGAUGGAAAGGAAGUUGAUGAAGGAGCCUGGGAAACUAAAAUUAGUCACAGAGAGAAACGACAGCAGCGUAAACGUGAUAAGGUGCUGACUGAUUCUGGUUCAUUGGAUUCAACUAUCCCUGGGAUAGAAAAUACCAUCACAGUUACCACCGAGCAACUUACAACCGCAUCAUUUCCUGUUGGUUCCAAGAAGAAUAAAGGUGAUUCUCAUCUAAAUGUUCAAGUUAGCAACUUUAAAUCUGGAAAAGGAGAUUCUACACUUCAGGUUUCUUCAGGAUUGAAUGAAAACCUCACUGUCAAUGGAGGAGGCUGGAAUGAAAAGUCUGUAAAACUCUCCUCACAGAUCAGUGCAGGUGAGGAGAAGUGGAACUCCGUUUCACCUGCUUCUGCAGGAAAGAGGAAAACUGAGCCAUCUGCCUGGAGUCAAGACACUGGAGAUGCUAAUACAAAUGGAAAAGACUGGGGAAGGAGUUGGAGUGACCGUUCAAUAUUUUCUGGCAUUG